UACAGAGGGUGCGAGCGUUAAUCGGAAUUACUGGGCGUAAAGCGUGCGUAGACGGUUAUUUAAGUCGGGUGUGAAAGCCCCGGGCUCAACCUGGGAAUUGCAUUCGAGACUGAAUAGCUAGGGUACGGUAGAGGGAAGUGGAAUUUCCGGUGUAGCGGUGAAAUGCGUAGAUAUCAGGAGGAACACCUGUGGUGUAGACGGCUUUCUGGACCGUAGCUGACGCUGAGACACGAAAGCGUGGGUAGCAAACAGG
rnacentral:rRNA from 1 species